AUGUAUCACGCGUCCGUUGCGGUUCGUCCGCGCUGUCCACACCCGCCUGACGACUGCGCGCUACGUGGUGCCAGGC
rnacentral:sRNA from 1 species